UCCCUGAUAGCUCAGUUGGUAAAGAAUCUGCCUGCAAUGCAGGAGACCCCAGGUCGAUUUCUGGGUCGGGAAG
rfam:Ovis aries breed Texel chromosome 4, whole genome shotgun sequence.